rnacentral:rRNA from 1 species
GAUCAUGGCUCAGGAUGAACGCUAGCUACAGGCUUAACACAUGCAAGUCGAGGGGCAGCAUGGUCUUAGCUUGCUAAGGCCGAUGGCGACCGGCGCACGGGUGAGUAACACGUAUCCAACCUGCCGUCUACUCGUUGGACAGCCUUCUGAAAGGAAGAUUAAUACAAGAUGGCAUCAGUGAGUCCGCAUGUUCACAUGAUUAAACGGUAUUCCGGUAGACGAUGGGGA